UAUUCCUUUUUAUUUGUAAUUGUGCAUAUAAUAACAUUUCUUCAUGUCUCCUUUUCAUUAUUUUAUUUUUUUAAUCUAUAAAUUGUAAUUGGGAAAACCAUAGUAAUAAUAAAAAGAUAAAUUUAAUAAGAAUAUGAUGUAAAAGAAGACUUUUAUACUUUCCAAAAAUGAUGCGACACAUUAAUUUUUUUUUUAAAUAAAAAAGAAAUAGUCACAAUGAUUCACUAAAACACUUACAUAAACAUAAAUAAAUAAAAUAAAAUAAAACCUCAAAAAAAGUUAUUCUCCGAACACAAAGGGUCUGUUUGGUAGGUAGUAAGUAAGUUCAAACUCACAUUUUCAUAUUUUAAAUAACAUUACACAUAUUUUUACAUACUUUUUCAAGCCUAAAUUAAUAUUUUUACAUUUUAAACAACAUUACACAUAUUUUUACACACUACACAUAUUUUUACACACUGUUUCAUCUAUAUGUAUUUCAAAAAAUUACAAACAACAUUACUCAAAUUAGUCUACCAAACACCCCCAAAGAAGUCGGAAAGUCUAUGUUGAUGUUAUUGGAAAUAAAUAAAUAAAUAAAUAAAGUUGUCAAAGCAAUUGUGUGCAUGUUAGAAUGUUUGAUUAGAGUUGGAAAAAUUGGACACAACUCAAUAACCCAAUGGAAAAAAAAAAUACCCAAUUGAAAUCCAAAAUUUUUUACCAGAGUAAAAAAUUGUAGACCCGUGAGCCAACCUGCAUUUGCUAGGUUGGGUUAGGUCAACCGGAUGUACCAUCAUCUAACGUUUUAUAAAAAUUCUUUAAAAAAAAUAAAUAAAUAAUUUGUUUCCCCUUUUCAUUUGCAUUUUAUAUAAUAAAUUUUAGAAAAAAAAAGUUUAUUAUUAAUAAAAGAAUACUAUGCCAUCUCUUCAUUACAUAAAGGUCCAAGAGCCAAGGGAUUUUUAUAUUAAAAUAAGAUCAUAAUUGUUAUUACUAAAGCAACAAACUAUCAUUUUUUUUUUAAUAAUUGUUUCUCAAAAAAAAUUUAUUUUUUAUAUAUAACAAAGUUCAAAGUAAAACUAAACCAAAAAAUAAAAUAAAAUCAUAAGAAUCGAUCGAAACAUAGUUCAUUCAUCUAUGUUGCAUUCAAAAUAAUUUCACCUGUUCCAACAACAGUAAAAAAAAAAAAAAAAAAAAAAAAAAAAUUAAUACUCCUUAAAACAAACCAAUCUCACUCAAAAUUUUACACAACAAUCUUUAAAGCAAAAGGGUGUUAAAAAAUAUUCCAAUACCCCAUUUGGGGGGAAAAAUUCUAGUACGACAAUUUAUCUCUCAAGCAGCUUAUCACAACUCUCUUAUGUAAUUUGCUGUGGAUGGUAAAAAAAAAAAAAAAAAAAAAAAAAACAAAACAGUAACAUAUCCAUGUGAAAGUGAAAAACAAUUAUAAUAUACUAGAAAAGUAUCAUAAUUCUUAAGUAUAAUUCCUAUACAAAAAUAUGCAAUAUUUUGCAUUAUACAAUCCUAAAAGCUCUACUGGGAUCCAAAAUACAAGAUUUAUUAAGAAACUACAUAUAAAAUAACUCAUGAUCAAGCCAUUGCAUCUAAUCAAGAUAUAAGCAAUCUUUUCAUAAAAUUUAAAAAAAAAAAAAGAAAAAGAAAAA